AUUAGACAGAAACUUUACCGAAUUGCAUUCAUUUGCAAAAUGUAUUCAACUGAAAAGCGACUCUGUGUUUCAAUAGCAUUUUUUAAGCGUUGUGGUAACACUGAGUGUGCUUCACUCAUUUUGAUUUUUUCGCGCAACUACUGAAAAUCUUUUAGCUGCGGUAAUUUAAUUAAAGUUUUCAUAAAAUGAAAGUGGCUGUCUUAAAUUAAAAGGGGUUUAGUUACAAUUUUCAGCUAAAAUAUACAUAAACGCUUAUGCUGACUGGUGAACACAACUAAAGCUUAUUAGUGUGCACAAUCCUUCAGAGCCUUGAAGAAUAACCUGGGUUAUGUGAGCUUGAUCGCUCAGCCAACCAAACCACAUCGAACAAAGGUUUAGUGAUUGUUAUUUUUUACCAAAAUUCAAUUUAUGUACGUAGAUACAUACCGCAGCCGCUAGAAAACCAUACAAAAUGAGAAGAAGUGAGGUUUGGAAGUUUUUUAAUGAAAA